AAGAGACGUAUGAACAUCAAGAGCUGCUAACUCUAGAAGCCUGAAAUAAAAUUUCUGGGUCUCUUA
rnacentral:tRNA from 1 species